GGGGAUUUAGCUCAGCGGCAUAAGCGCCUGCCUUGCAAGUAGGCAGUGAGCUUGAUCCCCG
rnacentral:tRNA from 1 species